UACGGAGGGGGUUAGCGUUGUUCGGAAUUACUGGGCGUAAAGCGUACGUAGGCGGAUUAGAAAGUUAGGGGUGAAAUCCCAGGGCUCAACCCUGGAACUGCCUCUAAAACUACUAGUCUAGAGUUCGAGAGAGGUGAGUGGAACUCCGAGUGUAGAGGUGAAAUUCGUAGAUAUUCGGAAGAACACCAGUGGCGAAGGCGGCUCACUGGCUCGAUACUGACGCUGAGGUACGAAAGUGUGGGGAGCAAACAGG
rnacentral:rRNA from 1 species